rnacentral:rRNA from 1 species
AGUGAACGCUGGCGGUAGGCCUAACACAUGCAAGUCGAACGGCAGCACAGUAAGAGCUUGCUCUUACGGGUGGCGAGUGGCGGACGGGUGAGGAAUACAUCGGAAUCUACUUUUUCGUGGGGAAUAACGUAGGGAAACUUACGCUAAUACCGCAUACGACCUACGGGUGAAAGCAGGGGAUCUUCGGACCUUGCGCGAUUGAAUGAGCCGAUGUCGGAUUAGCUAGUUGGCGGGGUAAAGGCCCACCAAGGCGACGAUCCGUAGCUGGUCUGAGAGGAUGAUCAGCCGCACUGGAACUGAGACACGGUCCAGACUCCUACGGGAGGCAGCAGUGGGGAAUAUUGGACAAUGGGCGCAAGCCUGAUCCAGCCAUACCGCGUGGGUGAAGAAGGCCUUCGGGUUGUAAAGCCCUUUUGUUGGGAAAGAAAAGCAGCAGGUUAAUACCCCGCUGUUCCGACGGUACCCAAAGAAUAAGCACCGGCUAACUUCGUG